rnacentral:rRNA from 1 species
CGAGGAAUCUUGCGCAAUGGGCGAAAGCCUGACGCAGCAACGCCGCGUGGGGGAUGAAGGCCUUCGGGUCGUAAACUCCUUUUGUCAGGGAAGAAAUAAGACGGUACCUGGCGAAUAAGCCACGGCUAACUACGUG